UACGAAGGGGGCUAGCGUUGUUCGGAUUUACUGGGCGUAAAGCGCACGUAGGCGGAUCGUUAAGUCGGGGGUGAAAUCCUGGAGCUCAACUCCCAGAACUGCCUUCGAUACUGGCGAUCUUGAGUCCGGAAGAGGUGAGUGGAACUCCUAGUGUAGAGGUGGAAUUCGUAGAUAUUAGGAAGAACACCAGUGGCGAAGGCGGCUCACUGGUCCGGUACUCGACGCUGAGGUGCGAAAGGCCGUGGGAGCAAACAGGG
rnacentral:rRNA from 1 species